GCCAAGGGUGCUGACAGCCAGGGGCUGGUGGGGCACAGCUUGGGCUCCGGGUCUCUGGCCUCCGGUUCCCAGCACAGGGCGGAGGCGCGCUUUGCAGGGACAUUUGCAAGAAUGGCGGUGAGAAGAGAGACAGAGAUGAAUCUUGCUUCCCCCCUCCCCCCACCCUCCCACUGCUUGCCUUCGAAGAUUUAAGCAUGUGUUUGCAGUUUCAAAGCUGAUGCCUGCUGGCUGCGAGGUAUUUUAUUGUAUUAUAUUUUGCUAGAUUUUUAUCGAUUAAAAAAGGUUUUUUUUAAUGUUUGUUUAUUGUUGAGAGAGAGGGAGCAGGAGGGGGCAGGGCAGGGUGGUGGUGGGGGGGGGACGGAGGAUACGAAGCAGGCCUUGCACUGACAGCACACAGCCCGAGGGGGGGCUCAAACUCAACUAAUGGGAGAUCAUGACCUGAGCCGAGGUCCAAAGCCCGACCCACUGAGCCACCCAGGUGCCCCUACAAGUUAUUUUAAAAGGAGUGGGGUGUUGGAGCACCUGGGUGGCUCAGUCAGUUAAGUGUCCCACUCUUGGUUUAGGCUCAGGUCAUGAUCUCACAGUUUGUGAGAUUGAGCCCUGUGUCGGGCCCUGUGCUGACAGUGUGGAGCCUGCUUGGGAUUCUCUCUCCCUCUCUCUCUGCCCCACCCCCACUCCUGCUCUCUCUCUCUUUCAAAAUAAAUACAUAAGUAAACUGAAAAAAAUAAAAGGGGUGGGGGUGCCGGGAUGCACUGGCAGGGAAAGGAGGAGGGGAGCAGGAGAAGGGGGAAAGGGCAGGGAACCGCAUGAGGACCAGAAUCCCGGCUCCUUCCCACUUCCGCUGCCCCUGCGGUUGUCCUCCCUGCCUUCACUCUUACUGUCCGGAAGCUACAGGAACCAAGAACCGUGCUGGCUCAGAACGACGCAACGCUCAUGGUUCUGGAAGCCAGAAGUCCAAAAUCUGUAUCACCGGGCUAAAGUCAAGGUGUGGGAGGGUCACACUCCCUCGGGAGGCCCUGGGGACAGUCCAUUCCCUACAUCUUCCAGCUCCUGGUGGCUGCUGUCCCUUGGCUCAUGGCGCAUCGCUCUGGCCUCUGCCUGGGAGGUCACGCGGCCUUCUUCCAUUCCGCCUGGGCCAAGUCCCCCUCCGCCUCCCUCUCACAAGGGUACCUGUGACUGCGUUUUGGGCCCACUUGGAUGAUCCAAGCUAAUCUCCCUACCUCAACACCCUUAAUUUAGUCACAUCUGGAAAGUCCUCUGGUGGCCAGGUAGGGUGACACUCACAGGUUGCAGGGAUUAGUCUGUGGACAUCUUUUCGAGGCCUUUAAUUAGUCUUUCUCACCCUUGCUCCUCCAGCCUGCUGGCUUUCUGCUGUUCCUCAAACACAGCACCCCUUCCCUCCUCAAGGCCUGGCCUCUUUUCCUGCUGCCUGGAUCACUCUUCCCUGGAAUCUUGGCUUCUUCUCAUUCUUCGGGUCUUGGCUCCAAUGUCAGCUCUGUGGAGAGAACUUCCUUAGUCGGCCCCUGUGCCUGGCACACAGUAGGUGCUCAACACAAAGAUGUUGAAUAAAAGCAAUGGAGAGAAACCCCGUUCUGAGCACCUGAGUCCUGAAGGGGAAACCUGUCUUCCGGAGCCUUGGAACAUUCCCUGAGCCUUCCCCAGAGGCCCCUGGGGACUGAGUGGUGGGGGCAGCGGACACUGUGGGCACAAUUCACCCACCAGGGGCAUUGGGCAAGGCACCUGGCCCUUCUGCACCCCAGCAUAAUAAAAAUACGAGUGAG
rnacentral:lncRNA from 1 species